GGGUGCGACCAUACCAGCACUAAUGCACCGGAUCCCAUCAGAACUCCGCAGUUAAGAGUGCUUGGGCGAGAGCAGUACUAAGGUGGGUGACCUCUUGGGAAGUCCUCGUGUUGCACCCCUCU
rnacentral:rRNA from 1 species